rnacentral:rRNA from 1 species
GACGAACGCUGGCGGCGUGCUUAACACAUGCAAGUCGAACGGACUACUUUGCUUCGGUAAGGUGGUUAGUGGCGAACGGGUGAGUAACGCGUAGACAACCUACCUCUUAGAUGGGGACAACAUCGCGAAAGCGGUGCUAAUACCGAAUGAAGUGACUUUCCUGCAUGGGAGAGAUACUAAAGGUGGCCUCUAUUUAUAAGCUACCACUGAGAGAUGGGUCUGCGUCUGAUUAGCUAGUUGGCGGGGUAACGGCCCACAAAGGCGACGAUCAGUAGCCGGUCUGAGAGGAUGAACGGCCACAUUGGGACUGAGACACGGCCCAAACUCCUACGGGAGGCAGCAGUGGGGAAUCUUCCGCAAUGGACGAAAGUCUGACGGAGCAACGCCGCGUGAGUGAAGAAGGUUUUCGGAUCGUAAAGCUCUGUUGUUUGAGACGAAUGUGCCUGUUUCGAAUAGGGAUAGGUAAUGACGGUAUUAAACGAGAAAGCCACGGCUAACUACGUGCCAGCCGCCGCAGUAACAC